rnacentral:rRNA from 1 species
AUCCAGCCAUGCCGCGUGUGUGAAGAAGGCCUUAUGGUUGUAAAGCACUUUAAGCGAGGAGGAGGCUACUGAGACUAAUACUCUUGGAUAGUGGACGUUACUCGCAGAAUAAGCACCGGCUAAACUCUGUGCCAGCAGCCGCGGUAAUACAGAGGGUGCGAGCGUUAAUCGGAUUUACUGGGCGUAAAGCGUGCGUAGGCGGCUUUUAAGUCGGAUGUGAAAUCCCCGAGCUUAACUUGGGAAUUGCAUUCGAUACUGGGAAGCUAGAGUAUGGGAGAGGAUGGUAGAAUUCCAGGUGUAGCGGUGAAAUGCGUAGAGAUCUGGAGGAAUACCGAUGGCGAAGGCAGCCAUCUGGCCUAAUACUGACGCUGAGGUACGAAAGCAUGGGGAGCAAACAGGAUUAGAUACCCUGGUAG